CGGACGGGUGAGUAAUGCCUAGGAAUCUGCCUGGUAGUGGGGGACAACGUUUCGAAAGGAACGCUAAUACCGCAUACGUCCUACGGGAGAAAGCAGGGACCUUCGGGCCUUGCGCUAUCAGAUGAGCCUAGGUCGGAUUAGCUAGUUGGUGAGGUAAUGGCUCACCAAGGCGACGAUCCGUAACUGGUCUGAGAGGAUGAUCAGUCACACUGGAACUGAGACACAGUCCAGACUCCUACGGGAGGCAGCAGUU
rnacentral:rRNA from 1 species